GGGGCGAAGACUACCGGGCGAGCUGCUACCGGAAGCCGAAUUGCGUACCGCUUAGCGAGCAGGAUAUUGCAGGAAAUUUUUUUUCUCUUUCCUCCCUUCGUUCCCUGUUUUCACCAUUUUCUUUUGUGUUUUCGUGCCGCAUACUGAGUCGGGAGACUCGAACAAUGAUUUUGGGCGUGUGUUGGCGUGGCGGAGAGAGAGAGGAGCUCGAGAGCAGGUCGCGGUAGAACAUAUUCUCAAGAUCGCGAGACCGCCAGCGACUGCCUCCCCUUAUUGUUUGGAGUUAGUACUGUUUUGCGUAGGUCCUUUCCGUAGAUUCCGAAGAGCCCUCACGUUGGAGGGCCGGAGGAGGAAAAUCGUCAGUACCGUACCGUAUUUAGGAGAAAGGCUACCCGGAUGCUUGCCUGUGACGUGCCGCUGGAUAACGAUUGGGAAGAAACUGGCGGCUAUCGACGUUCGUCGUAGCCGAGACCUCCUCGAUCCUCUCGGGAAAGAGGGAGUUGUGACGUUUUCCGUCCGUCACAAGGGCCGCAUGGCCUAACCGAAAAGUGCAGUAUAGUGUCCUGAGUCCUCUCACAUUUUAGGGGCGAACGCACCUGCGCUUUUUCCCCGCGACGACGUUUGCGUACCUUACGCGUUCCGCGUUGUCGUUUUCGUUUUCCCGUUUCUGUGUAUUCCUGUACCGAGGCUUACAGAGGCACUCCCGCGACCUUGGCAGAGUGACGCCAAUCUCACUGGAAAGAAGAGAAGGAAGAACGAUCAGGAUUGGGAGUCAAGAGACGACCGCUGCUGACAGAUCCGCCGGGGGUGCACGACACCUGACCCCGGAUGCACGCAGGCGCAAAGCGGAUCGAGAGUUGGUACGGCAUGACGGGGAAGGCCACUCUACGCCCCAAGGACGACGAGAGCCCCGGAUAGGCACCUCGAGGCCAUGAGGCGGCCUGAAAAAGACUCCCGAAUUUCGCGAUCUCUCAAAUUUCGCGCGCCAGGACAUGACGCGGUUCCCGCGAUUAGCGGAACCGCGGAGCCACGCGCCAAUCAGACGCGAUAAGGCCCCUCGCGGGGAUAACGAGCCCUGCGUGCGCUCGGAAGGAUUAGAGCCCGGCAUUUGAGCUGUAGCCCGCUUGGCGAGGGCACGCGAGAGGACGCAGGACGUCAACGAAUCGAGAACCUUCCAAGGUCGACUAGGACGAGCAUCUGCGAGGGAGUCAAGCGGUGAGACAAGCGUCACUGUAAAGUCGCCGCGUCCGGGAGGCGUAGCUUUAUUGGAUUUCUAUCGGGCGUAUAAUAGAGAGUGCACGUGGCAUUACCACGUAUCAGAGUUUCGCGGGAUUCAAGUACGCGUGUCGCCUCCCGAAUGCCCUUAUCGUCGGGAUAAUUUUAAGACGUCCGCAAGCCACAGCCUCAUCAUUCGUUGUUUCUUUUUAUCGCGGAUCAUAUGUUGCGUCGAAGUUCCGUGCCGUAAUAUUGUCGUGUAUCGUGUCGUCUCGAGCGUUUGUAGCAUAAGAUUUGCAUGUUUAUUCGGUCUUCUGUGUCAUAGCCAUUAACGACAAUCUAUAAUAGCAAUUGAUAAUUGUGCGUAUUCUGUCGUAUCGAGAUUGCGUAGUGUCGAGUUUGCACGUAUUUGAGUCUUCUCUGCAUCUCAGCUGAGCGGCGCGAGGCCCCGCAAGCGCGCAGGUCACACCGUGUCCACGCUACAAUCGUUGCCGAAUUCCUUAGUAUUUGCGAGGCGAUGAAGUAUGAUUCGUAUAAUUCGCGAGAGUACUCCUGUGUGGUGUGAGCUCGUGUUGCGGGAAUUUAACGAAGUUGAUACGCCUAGCGUAAAACCUCGGGGCCUAUGUAAAUCAGUUAUCGCGCUCAAGUAGAGCUUAUCGUCUCGAUUGUAUCGCCAGAUGUAAAUGUGAGUCGAAGAUUCAUUUAAUAUAUUUGUUACUUUUGUUAUUGUUAA